GACGAACGCUGGCGGCGUGCUUAACACAUGCAAGUCGAACGGAAAGGCCCUGCUUGCAGGGUACUCGAGUGGCGAACGGGUGAGUAACACGUGGGUGAUCUGCCCUGCACUUCGGGAUAAGCUUGGGAAACUGGGUCUAAUACCGGAUAGGAGCCAUCUUUAGUGUGGUGGUUGGAAAGUUUUUUCGGUGUAGGAUGAGCUCGCGGCCUAUCAGCUUGUUGGUGGGGUAAUGGCCUACCAAGGCGGCGACGGGUAGCCGGCCUGAGAGGGUGUACGGCCACAUUGGGACUGAGAGACGGCCCAGACUCCUACGGGGGGCAGCAGUGGGGAAUAUUGCACAAUGGGCGCAAGCCUGAUGCAGCGACGCCGCGUGGGGGAUGAAGGCCUUCGGGUUGUAAACUCCUUUCGCUAGGGACGAAGCUUUGUUGUGACGGUACCUAGAUAAGAAGCACCGGCUAACUACGUG
rnacentral:rRNA from 1 species